UACGUAGGGGGCAAGCGUUGUCCGGAUUUAUUGGGCGUAAAGAGCGUGUAGGCGGCCUGACAGGUCUGCUGUGAAAACUCGAGGCUCAACCUCGAGAUGUCGGCGGAAACCGUCUGGCUAGAGUCCGGAAGAGGAGAGUGGAAUUCCUGGUGUAGCGGUGAAAUACGUAGAGAUUGGGAAGAACACCAGUGGCGAAGGCGGCUAUCUGGACGGUUUCUGACGCUAAGACGCGAAAGCGUGGGGAGCAAACAGG
rnacentral:rRNA from 1 species